CGAUCCGCCAUCUGUGGUGGAGUCGCCACCAAAAUGCAGAUUUUCGUGAAAACCCUUACGGGGAAGACCAUCACCCUCGAGGUUGAACCCUCGAAUACGAUAGAAAAUGUAAAGGCCAAGAUCCAGGAGAAGGAAGGAAUUCCUCCUGCUCUGCAAAGACUGAUCUUUGCUGGCAAGCAACUGGAAGAUGGACGUACUUUGUCUGACUACAAUAUUCAAAAGGAGUCUACUCUUCAUCUUGUGUUGAGACUUCGUGGUGGUGCUAAGAAAAGGAAGAAGAAGUCUUACACCACUCCCAAGAAGAAUAAGCACAAGAGAAAGAAGGUUAUGCUGGCUGUCCUGAAAUAUUAUAAGGUGGAUGAGAAGGGCAAAAUUAGUCGCCUUCGUCGAGAGUGCCCGUCUGAUGAAUGUGGUGCUGGGGUGUUUAUGGCAAGCCACUUUGACAGACAUUAUUGUGACAAAUGUUGUCUGACUUAUUGCUUCAACAAGCCAGAAGACAAGUAACUGUAUGAGUUAAUAAAAGACACGAACUAA